GACGAACGCUGGCGGCGUGCUUAACACAUGCAAGUCGAACGGAAAGGCCCUGCUUUUGUGGGGUGCUCGAGUGGCGAACGGGUGAGUAACACGUGAGUAACCUGCCCUUGACUUUGGGAUAACUUCAGGAAACUGGGGCUAAUACCGGAUAGGAGCUCCUGCUGCAUGGUGGGGGUUGGAAAGUUUCGGCGGUUGGGGAUGGACUCGCGGCUUAUCAGCUUGUUGGUGGGGUAGUGGCUUACCAAGGCUUUGACGGGUAGCCGGCCUGAGAGGGUGACCGGCCACAUUGGGACUGAGAUACGGCCCAGACUCCGACGGGAGGCAGCAGUGGGGAAUAUUGCACAAUGGGCGGAAGCCUGAGGCAGCAACGCCGCGUGCGGGAUGGCGGCCUUCGGGUUGUAAACCGCUUUCGCCUGUGACGAAGCGUGAGUGACGGUAAUGGGUAAAGAAGCACCGGCUAACUACGUG
rnacentral:rRNA from 1 species